AGCUUUGCGCAGUGGCAGUAUCGUAGCCAAUGAGGUUUAUCCGAGCGCGAUUAUUGCUAAUUGAAAGUUAACUUUCAAAUAGUUAACUGAAAGAAAAACCUUUUUUUUUAUUUUUAAUUUUAAUUCCAGUAGAGCUAACAUACACUG